rnacentral:rRNA from 1 species
UACGAAGGGUGCAAGCGUUACUCGGAAUUACUGGGCGUAAAGGGUGCGUAGGCGGUUCGUUAAGUCUGUCGUGAAAUCCCCGGGCUCAACCUGGGAAUGGCGAUGGAUACUGGCGAGCUAGAGUGUGUCAGAGGAUGGUGGAAUUCCCGGUGUAGCGGUGAAAUGCAUUGAGAUCGGAAAGAACACCAACGGCGAAAGCACUCUGCUGGGCCGACACUGACACUGAGAGACGAAAGCUAGGGGAGCAAAUGGG